rnacentral:rRNA from 1 species
UUCCAGACUCCUACGGGAGGCAGCAGUGAGGAAUAUUGGUCAAUGGGCGCGAGCCUGAACCAGCCAAGUCGCGUGAGGGAAGACGGUCCUAUGGAUUGUAAACCUCUUUUGUCGGGGAGCAAAAGACGCCACGCGUGGCGUUCCGAGAGUACCCGAAGAAAAAGCAUCGGCUAACUCCGUGCCAGCAGCCGCGGUAAUACGUAGGGGGCAAGCGUUAUCCGGAUUUACUGGGUGUAAAGGGAGCGUAGACGGCUGUGCAAGUCUGAAGUGAAAGCCCAGGGCUCAACCCUGGGACUGCUUUGGAAACUGUGGAGCUAGAGUGCUGGAGAGGUAAGUGGAAUUCCUAGUGUAGCGGUGAAAUGCGUAGAUAUUAGGAGGAACACCAGUGGCGAAGGCGGCUUACUGGACAGUAACUGACGUUGAGGCUCGAAAGCGUGGGGAGCAAACAGGAUUAGAUACCCCCGUA